rnacentral:rRNA from 1 species
UACGGAGGGGGCUAGCGUUGUUCGGAAUUACUGGGCGUAAAGCGCACGUAGGCGGCUUUGUAAGUUAGAGGUGAAAGCCCGGGGCUCAACUCCGGAAUUGCCUUUAAGACUGCAUCGCUAGAAUUGUGGAGAGGUAAGUGGAAUUCCGAGUGUAGAGGUGAAAUUCGUAGAUAUUCGGAAGAACACCAGUGGCGAAGGCGACUUACUGGACACAUAUUGACACUGAGGCACGAAAGCGUGGGGAUCAAACAGG